rnacentral:rRNA from 1 species
GUUUAUCAAAAACAUAGCUUCUAGAAUUAAUUAGAAGUAAAAUCCUGCCCGGUGAAAAUAAUUUUAAACGGCCACAAUCGUGCUAAGGUAGCGUAAUCAAUUGUCCUUUUAUUGAGGACUAGUAUGAAAGGAAAAACGAGGCUCAACUGUCUCUGUUAAUAAAAUAAGAAAUUAGUAACUAGGUGAAAAAACCUAAAUAAAAUUAAAGGACGAAAAGACCCUAUAGAGUUUAAAUAUAUUAUUUUAUUUGUCCGUUUUAACCAACAAAUAAAAUAAGUAUUUUAAUUGGGGCAACAUGGGAACAAAAAAAUUUCCUUACAUAAUACAUUUAAUAUUUUAAAAUUAAAAAUCCUCAAAGAGAUAAAGAAAAACUACCUUAGGGAUAACAGCGUAAUUCUUCUAAAGAGACCUAAUCGAAAGAAGAGUUUGCGACCUCGAUGUUGGACUAAGGCACCAUAAUGGUGAAGAAACUAUUAAAAGUAGGCCUGUUCGGCCUAUUAGCCUUACAUGAUCUGAGUUCAGACCGGGGCGA